rnacentral:tRNA from 4 species
GCCCGCGUAGCUCAGCUGGCUAGAGCAGCGCUUUCGUAAAGCGAAGGUCGGCGGUUCAAAUCCGCCCGUGGGCU